rnacentral:rRNA from 1 species
GUGCCAGCAGCCGCGGUAAUACGGAGGGUGUAAGCGUUAUUCGGAAUUACUGGGCGUAAAGCGCAUGUAGGUGGAAUAGUAAGUCAAAUGUGAGAACUUUGGGCUCAACUCAAGGAUUGCAUCUGAAACUGCUUAACUAGAGUUCGAGAGAGGAGGGUGGAAUUCCCAGUGUAGAAGUGAAAUUCGUAGAUAUUGGGAGGAACACCGGGGGCGAAGGCGGCCCUCUGGCUCGAUACUGACGCUGAGAUGCGAAAGUGUGGGGAGCAAACACUGAUUAGAUACCCUGGUAGUCCACACCGUAAACGAUGGAUACUUGGUGUUGCGAGUAUAUUAAUAUUUGCAGUGCCGAAGCUAACGCAUUAAGUAUCCCGCCUGGGGAGUACGGUCGCAAGAUUAAAACUCAAAUGAAUUGACGGG